rnacentral:rRNA from 1 species
AUUGAACGCUGGCGGCAGGCCUAACACAUGCAAGUCGAGCGGAUGAAGGGAGCUUGCUCCUGGAUUCAGCGGCGGACGGGUGAGUAAUGCCUAGGAAUCUGCCUGGUAGUGGGGGAUAACGUCCGGAAACGGGCGCUAAUACCGCAUACGUCCUGAGGGAGAAAGUGGGGGAUCUUCGGACCUCACGCUAUCAGAUGAGCCUAGGUCGGAGUAGCUAGUUGGUGGGGUAAAGGCCUACCAAGGCGACGAUCCGUAACUGGUCUGAGAGGAUGAUCAGUCACACUGGAAGUGAGACACGGUCCAGACUCCUACGGGAGGCAGCAGUGGGGAAUAUUGGACAAUGGGCGAAAGCCUGAUCCAGCCAUGCCGCGUGUGUGAAGAAGGUCUUCGGAUUGUAAAGCACUUUAAGUUGGGAGGAAGGGCAGUAAGUUAAUACCUUGCUGUUUUGACGUUACCAACAGAAUAAGCACCGGCUAACUUCGUG